rnacentral:ncRNA from 1 species
UAACGAACGGGGAGCAUCGACGCGCGGCUCUUCCUUUGGUCGCCCGAACCGCGCCGAGCCACUGGCGAGCCCGACCCGUCUCACU